rnacentral:rRNA from 1 species
AUUGAACGCUGGCGGCAGGCCUAACACAUGCAAGUCGAGCGAGCGGCGGACGGGUGAGUAAUGUCUGGGAAACUGCCUGAUGGAGGGGGAUAACUACUGGAAACGGUGGCUAAUACCGCAUACCAUCCGAUGAGCCCAUAUGGGAUUAGCUAGUAGGUGGGGUAAAGGCUCACCUAGGCGACGAUCCCUAGCUGGUCUGAGAGGAUGACCAGCCACACUGGGACUGAGACACGGCCCAGACUCCUACGGGAGGCAGCAGUGGGGAAUAUUGCGCAAUGGGCGAAAGCCUGAUGGAGCAACGCCGCGUGUAUGAAGAAGGCCUUAGGAUUGUAAAGCACUUUCAGUGGGGAAGCGUUACCCGAAGAAGAAGCACCGACUAACUACGUGCCAGCAGCCGCGGUAAUAC